CCGCUGAUCGCAGAAUCGUCGUCGCAGCUCACAUACAGGACAGACAAGGAUUAAUCUCCUUGCUCGUCUCAUCUGUUCUCGGUGCUGUGGGGAAAGUCCCCGGAGACGCGGCAGGUCAAGCCACCCACCCACCCUCGUUUGAGGGUUCCAAACUGCGAUCCGAAUGGAAAGCGGCUGCCUCUAAGCUUGGCGGGAGGAUCGCAGUGGGACCGGUGUUGGCUCAGAUUGGGAAUCACUGUGCACGCAACGUCGUCACAGGCCCACUCUGCCUGCUACUGUCAGUUGUUAUCCCUUCUGUCUGCUCACCCGGACCGAUCUCUAUUCCAAAUCGCCGAUCCGAAGCCGUAGGCGAAGAUAUGAGCUAGCGGUGGAGUGUCUGGCGAGGAGUCGGUUUGGUAGGACGGAAGUACGAGGCGCUGGCGACCUUCAUUGCUCAUGGUUACAGACAUACGAUUACACCUCUUCUGAGGUGAACCGGAAUGGGGCUACUCGUGGUCAGCG
rnacentral:RNase_MRP_RNA from 2 species